CGGGGGGGGGGGGGGUCCCUCAGCUUGGAUUGUGAGAGGGUGCAGGCCACGUUGAGGGACCCCACCGGGGCACA
rnacentral:pre_miRNA from 1 species